rnacentral:rRNA from 1 species
AUGAUUAUUAUUAUUUUUUACUCUGCAAUUUGUAUUAUCUUAGAUACUGAUGUGGGCAUAGAUACGUCUACAAAUAUUACACGACACAAUUUUCAGGUAAUUUGUAUUGAUCAUUAUAUGAUAUUAUAUUUUAUUACCAGGGGCAAAAAUACUACACCAAUUUAUUUCUUGCGUAGAAUUGUUGAAGGCAUUUGCAAAAUAAGUAUCAAGAUGAGAGAUUAUGCACUUGAAGCUUACACGGGCCAUACAAAUGCACCCAUGCACAUGCAGCCGAGCCAAGGAAGUACUCCUGUACAUGCAUGCGUGAGGAAGGUGCAAGGAGGAGCCAGCCUUGCAUGCUACGAUGCCCAUGUACAUCACGUUGGGGCCACACAUCUUGUCAACCGAAGGAAACAUCAAUUCCGGCUGAGGCGUGUACAAGUUGGACUCCGUACGUCCUGCGUUCCGUAA